UACAGAGGGUGCAAGCGUUGUUCGGAAUCAUUGGGCGUAAAGCGCGCGUAGGUGGCCUCAUAAGUCCGCUGUGAAAGUCAAAGGCUCAACCUUUGAAAGCCGGUGGAUACUGUGAGGCUAGAGUACGGAAGAGGCGAGUGGAAUUCCUGGUGUAGCGGUGGAAUGCGCAGAUAUCAGGAGGAACACCAAUAGCGAAGGCAGCUCGCUGGGACGUUACUGACACUGAGGCGCGAAAGCGUGGGGAGCGAACAGG
rnacentral:rRNA from 1 species